rnacentral:rRNA from 1 species
AACCUGGUUGAUCCUGCCAGUAGUCAUAUGCUUGUCUCAAAGACUAAGCCAUGCAUGUCUAAGUAUAAGUAUUAUACAGCGAAACUGCGAAUGGCUCAUUAAAACAGUUAUAGUUUAUUUGACAAUCGAAUUUACAUGGAUAACCGUGGUAAUUCUAGAGCUAAUACAUGCUGAUGAGCCCGACUUCGCGGAAGGGCGGUAUUUAUUAGAUUCAAACCAAUAUUCCCCAGGUCUAUGUGGUGACUCAUAAUAACUGAUCGAAUCGCAAGGCCUAGCGCCGCGAUAAGUCAUUCAAGUUUCUGCCCCAUCAGCUUUCGAUGGUAGUGUAUUGGACUACCAUGGCGUUUACGGGUAACGGAGGAUUAGGGUUCGAUUCCGGAGAGGGAGCCUGAGAAACGGCUACCACAUCUAUGGAAGGCAGCAGGCGCGUAAAUUACCCAAUCCUGACUCAGGGAGGUAGUGACAAGAAAUAACGGACCGAGGCCUUCGGGCUCUCGGGAUUGCAAUGAGCCGAAUUUACACCCCUUAGCGAGGACCGAUUGGAGGGCAAGUCUGGUGCCAGCAGCCGCGGUAAUUCCAGCUCCAAUAGCGUAUAUUAAAGUUGUUGCAGUUAAAAAGCUCGUAGUUGGAUUUCUUGGAGAGUGCCUUUGUCCGCUACGGCGUGCGCAAAGGCGCUCUUCCAUCCUUCUGUUAACGCCAUUGGGGCUUUAUUGACCUAUGGCGGGCUCAGAUAUUUUACCUUGAGAAAAUUAGAGUGUUUCACGCAG